UACAGAGGGGGCAAGCGUUGUUCGGAAUUACUGGGCGUAAAGGGCGCGUAGGCGGCCUUCUAAGUCGAACGUGAAAUCCCCGGGCUCAACCCGGGAACUGCGUCCGAUACUGGAAGGCUUGAAUCCGGGAGAGGGAUGCGGAAUUCCGGGUGUAGCGGUGAAAUGCGUAGAUAUCCGGAGGAACACCGGUGGCGAAGGCGGCUUCCUGGACCGACACUGACGCUGAGGCGCGAAAGCUAGGGGAGCAAACGGG
rnacentral:rRNA from 1 species